CCUAAUUCUUUUUAACAAUAUUGUUUUCUUUUUCUCCUCCACAUUUAUGUUUAUUGUUGUCCUGAAAAAGAAGACUAAAUAGAACCCUUCGUUUGAGAAUCAAAACGACGUCGCCGUAAGGGUUCUUGCCAUUUCCAUUUCCAUUUCUAUGCAAAUCAAGGUCGCACAGCUCAGUUCUUCUCGGGAGCGGUGAGGUCGGCGACGAUCAAAGCUCGGCUGAAAAUUCCAACGGGGGUGAACGGAGAAACGUCGAAGUCUUGGUGAAAUGGGAGCAGCGAGUAAAGCGGGCGAUUGGGCGUUCAAGGCCUUUACUGCCGGUCUCGGUGUCGCCACCAUUUAUCUCACUGCUACUUUCUCAGUCAACGUCUACAGAGGAUUGUCUUGGCACAAAGCUCAAUCCAAAAUCAACAACGAAAAUUCAAAUGAAGAGGCUACAUAGUUUGGAUUUUUGAGCCACGGAACAUCUGCAGUUAAACUUUUUUUUUUUCCUACAAAUUUUGUAUGAUCAGGUUCUAAAUUGAUUUCAAUGCUUCACUUUAUACCUUAUCUUUCAUGGGAAGAGCAGGAGACUUUCUUUUUGGAUAUCUAGCAUAAUUUGGUUAUGGUAUUAAGGGCAUUAUUCAUACAAGGUCAGCAAUUUACUGCAGAUCAUUUCAACUAUUCUAAUGGGAAUUGCCUUAUGUGCCUUCUGAUGUA